UAAGAGAGUUUGAUCCUGGCUCAGGAUGAACGCUGGCGGUAUGCUUAACACAUGCAAGUCGAACGAGAGGUUUUUAAAGAUUUUUCUUAAAAAACUGAAAGUGGCGGACGGGUGAGUAACACGUGAGAAUCUGCCUUUAGGAAAGGGACAACAUUUGGAAACGAAUGCUAAUACCUUAUAUGCCUAUUAAUCA
rnacentral:rRNA from 13 species